AAAAAAAUCACUCAUAUUUUAUGCUUUGAGAAAUGCAUGAUGACAUACAGUACAUACAGUCUUGUCAUAUAGCUUGCUUUAUAUCAGUCUCAGAAGACACUUAAAAGGAGCUUUCCUUCUCUGACAAGAAGCAGCUGGCUUUGGGAAUAAUGAAUUUACAACAUAUCAUCUUCUCAUUUCAGUUUGGUAUAUUACUUCUCACAUUAAAAUACCCAAUAUCAAUGUAAAUUGACCUCUUUCUCUAGGAAAAAAAAAAAAAAAGGAAAUCAAAAAAAUGAACAAGCCUUUCAUUCUUUUGGCUUGCAAGUGAGAUUUGUAAGUCUUCAUUUUCUGCAGGCACCCUGCCUUCACCAAGUGUAUGGAUUGGGACUACUGAAAAAUGCCCUCCCACUGCAGUAGUAUUUUCUGGAGUGCUCCAUGCCAGUUUCUGUUUGCUUACUUCACUACUGAGAGCAGUAAAUCAGUGCAACUGCAAGAAAAUGCCAGGCGGGAGCUAACUGCGUGAGCCCUGCAAGCAGUGUGAAAUACUUGGCAGGUCUGAAGUCUAAAUUCAGUGAUGCUGCAAACCCGAUUGCCACAGUCACAUCCUGCACAAUCACUCAGAUCUCUCAGAUGGAAAAGAUAGAAGGCUAUACCCACACUGUGCUUCCCGGAGCAACAGAUAGCAAGAAAACAAGUCAGAUAUUUUCAAAUUCUCUACUGAAGAAGGACAGAAUAUUGUAAUAACAUUAAAGCAAAAAUACCGACUGUUAUAAUAAAUGAUCUAAAAACAGAAAAGAAGCCUUUAUU
rnacentral:lncRNA from 1 species